UACGGAGGAUCCAAGCGUUAUCCGGAAUUACUGGGCGUAAAGAGCUCGUAGGUGGUUUGUCGCGUUGUUCGUGAAAACUCACAGCUUAACUGUGGGCGUGCGGGCGAUACGGGCAGACUGGAGUACUGCAGGGGAGACUGGAAUUCCUGGUGUAGCGGUGGAAUGCGCAGAUAUCAGGAGGAACACCGGUGGCGAAGGCGGGUCUCUGGGCCGAUACUGACGCUGAGGAGCGAAAGCGUGGGGAGCGAACAGG
rnacentral:rRNA from 1 species